GGGGAGACGCAGCUUCUGGCCGGGACUGAGGAGAGAAGGCGUGGGAAGGAGCGGGCUCCGGCGCUCAUCCCAGCCCCUUUUCUCCCCUGGACUGGCUGCCACGAGCGAGGAGAAAG
rnacentral:precursor_RNA from 11 species